CCUGCCUGCGAGGCGAGGCAGUUUGCCAAAUCCUAGAGCAUUUCAGUGUGGAAGUAACAGCACGAAAGGCCUGAAGCAGAAUCUAAAUGAGGAGUGUGCUGCUUCCAGAGCUCGGAAUGCCAGAAAGGACAGGAGAACUUUGCGAGGAUUGUAUCCAGUCUCAUCUUAGGGAGAAUUCAAACCAGGCAAGGGUUAUAGAAGAAAACUACCUUGAUAGUCAAAGAGUCAGAAGGUAAAUGACAAAAGGAACAAGAAGAGGAACAGAAAUG
ensembl:lncRNA